GACGAACGCUGGCGGCGUGCUUAACACAUGCAAGUCGAACGGAAAGGCUCCAGCUUGCUGGAGUACUCGAGUGGCGAACGGGUGAGUAACACGUGGGUGAUCUGCCCUGCACUUCGGGAUAAGCCUGGGAAACUGGGUCUAAUACCGGAUAGGACCGCACUUUGGUGUGUGUGGUGGAAAGGUUUUUCUGGUGUGGGAUGAGCUCGCGGCCUAUCAGUUUGUUGGUGGGGUAAUGGCCUACCAAGACGGCGACGGGUAGCCGGCCUGAGAGGGUGGACGGGCACAUUGGGACUGAGAUACGGCCCAGACUCCUACGGGAGGCAGCAGUGGGGAAUAUUGCACAAUGGGGGAAACCCUGAUGCAGCGACGCCGCGUGGGGGAUGAAGGCCUUCGGGUUGUAAACUCCUUUCGCUAGGGACGAAGCUUUUUGUGACGGUACCUGGAGAAGAAGCACCGGCUAACUACGUG
rnacentral:rRNA from 1 species